CCCCAAUAGUUAAGUUCAUACUAGCUGCUCUCAUGACUAACCAAAAAUAUCCAGUGACUCAAACACCAAAGGAAUUUCCCUUCCCUAAUCACAUAAAUUCAAAACAGGGUGCCUGGGAUCGGCAGACAGCCCUACUGCAGGAGAUAAGUCAGGCAUCCUCCAUCUGUAACGGUAGCCUCACUGUUUAUGCCAUACAGCUUCCAAGGGUGCUGUGCCCAUUUGAACCAGAUCAGAAGGCAAAGGACAUGGAGAGUCGCACGCUGGGGGUUUUAGGAACCAGGGCUUGAAGUGAUGCUUGUCACUUCUAUUCACAUUCUACUCCUCAGAACUCAGCCACAUGGCUACACCUAACUGGCAAGCACAGUCUAGCUUCCUGAAGCUUCUUCCAGGUGCCCUCUCAGCAGCCAGGGAAAGCUGGGAGUACGACUCAGGUGCCAGGGACCUCCAGAGCCCAGACUUGCAGACUCAGUGGGGCUUGCAGAAGCUUCUCGAGUACAGCAGACACUGUUUGCAUCAGCAGGCUGCUGCCCUCCACAAACUGCUCAGUCACGGCAUUUUGGCAGCUGUGUAGGAGGAAGCUAUUUGGAGCUGGCCAACACGGAGAAUGACCAUAAUAUGCAAGCACUCCUCGGAGGAUUUUACCCCCCCACCCCCUUUUUUUAACUCCCUUGGAUUUCCAAAUCCCUAAUCUCCACUGAUUAUUUUUCCUUUCUAUAGAGAAUUUGAUAUAGUUUAAAGACAUUUGGAGAACAAAUGAGUAAAGGUUUGGAAAGAUACUUUGAAUAUUUAAGACAAGAUGACACAGAUAUUUAUUGGGUUCCAAAAUAUCAGAUAGCGAAGAGAUUUUUGAAACAUCACAUGAAUGAUGAGAUGUGAAUCUCAACUAGGAAUUCCCCACUAAUAAUGACAGGGAUGUUGAUGCCAAAUGAUUCUAGGUUGAGAAUACCUAGGAUGGGGGGGAGGCAGCCCAUGAAUGCAGUUACCUUACAGGGUUUCUCUGUUUGAGUUACAUUUGCCAUUGGAGAAGACUGGAAUUUUGCUUGUUCUAUGUGUGAGAUUUAAUCUGGAAAUAGUUUUCAAGUAUUUCUUUUCUUAGCAAAUUUUAAACACAGACUAACCAAAUUAUCUACUGCAUUCCAUCUAUUUCACAGCAGUAAGUCAUUGGGCCUAAAAGCAAUGUAGCUGAUUUCAUAACAAUAAGGUGAAGACCCAGCAUGAUGGAACAGACUUCAGUUACCAGUUUAGGGAGGGGUCCACUAUGGUAAUAGCUCAGAGUUUCUAAUCCCAGUCAAAAAGGAACUCCAGGAUAACUUGACCGAAGGGGCAUAGUACAGGGAGAAAAGCUCAGAAAUAGAAGUAAUGAUUUUGAUUUAAGACCUC